UUGAAUCACCAGUUCCUAUAAGAUCCCUGGCUAAGCAACGUUGAGCUUGGUCAGUACCUAGAUAGGUGACCACUUGUGAAUAGCAGGUGCUGCAGGC